GACGAACGCUGGCGGCGUGCUUAACACAUGCAAGUCGAACGGAAAGGCCCUGCUUUUGUGGGGUGCUCGAGUGGCGAACGGGUGAGUAACACGAGAGUAACCUGCCCUUGACUUUGGGAUAGCUUCAGGAAACUGGGGCUAAUACCGGAUAGGAGCUCCUGCUGCAGGGUGGGGGUGGGAAAGUUUCGGCGGUUGGGGAUGGACUCGCGGCUUAUCAGCUUGUUGGUGGGGUAGUGGCUUACCAAGGCUUUGACGGGUAGCCGGCCUGAGAGGGUGACCGGCCACAUUGGGACUGAGAUACGGCCCAGACUCCUACGGGAGGCAGCAGUGGAGAAUAUUGCACAAUGGGCGGAAGCCUGAUGCAGCAACGCCGCGUGCGGGAUGACGGCCUUCGGGUUGUAAACCGCUUUCGCCUGUGACGAAGCGUGAGUGACGGUAAUGGGUAAAGAAGCACCGGCUAACUACGUG
rnacentral:rRNA from 1 species